ensembl:lncRNA
CUCUCUGCUGGGCGGACUGGGGCAGAUCCGAGCCGACCAGUUCCGUGUUUCUCUGCUCACCCAGUUUACGGAGCAGACCGUACCGGAGGACCGGACAGCGUCACGGUGGACAUUCCUGUCCAGCAGCGGCAUCCGUAACUCCGGGGACGACAGGAAAGUGAGCGCGGAGGCUUUCCUAAAGUCAAUCCGGUUUCUAAUCAGAGCUCCACUGUCCCAUCCGUUGCAGGACUGCUGGUUCUUGAAGUCUCUGAAGGUCCUUUUUCAUGAUUCUGACUGCAUAAUCGGGCUCGCUGUCCUUCUGCAGAUUGAAUUUGCAUGAUUUUAAAAAAGUUGCCUAAAACUUUUGCACAGC